CAGAGGAACCUGUUCUAUAAUCGAUAAUCCACGAUGGACCUUGCUUAAAUUUGUAGUCAGUUUAUAUACCGUCGUUAUCAGAAGAUUUUAAAAGAAAUUUAAUUUUCAAUAAUUUUAAUAAAAAUUUAUAUCAGAUCAAGGUGUAGCUUAUAUUUAAGAAGAAAUGGGUUACAAUUAAUUUAUUAAUGGAUUUAUUUAUGAAAAAAAUAAUGAAAUUGGAUUUGACAGUAAAAAUUUAAAGAAUAAAAUUUUGAUUUUAGCUCUAAAAUAUGCAC
rnacentral:rRNA from 1 species